GACGAACGCUGGCGGCGUGCUUAACACAUGCAAGUCGAACGGAAAGGCCCUGCUUUUGUGGGGUGCUCGAGUGGCGAACGGGUGAGUAACACGUGAGUAACCUGCCCUUGACUUUGGGAUAACUUCAGGAAACUGGGGCUAAUACCGGAUAGGAGCUCCUGCGGCAUGGUGGGGGUUGGAAAGUUUCGGCGGUUGGGGAUGGACUCGCGGCUUAUCAGCUUGUUGGUGGGGUAGUGGCUUACCAAGGCUUUGACGGGUAGCCGGCCUGAGAGGGUGACCGGCCAAAUUGGGACUGAGAUACGGCCCAGACGCCUACGGGAGGCAGCAGUGGGGAAUAUUGCACAAUGGGCGGAAGCCUGAUGCAGCAACGCCGCGUGCGGGAUGACGGCCUUCGGGUUGUAAACCGCUUUCGCCUGUGACGAAGCGUGAGUGACGGUAAUGGGUAAAGAAGCACCGGCUAACUACGUG
rnacentral:rRNA from 1 species